GUUGAGCGGAGAUAUAUGGAGCUUGCUUUAUAUAACUUAGCAGCGAACGGGUGAGUAACACGUAGAUAAUCUAUCCUAUACUGGGGGAUAGCCCGAUGAAAGUUGGAUUAAUACCGCAUAUAGCUAUAUAGUUGCAUGAUUAUGUAGUGAAAGAUUUAUUGGUAUAGGAGGAGUCUGCGGCACAUUAGCUAGUAGGUGAGGUAAAGGCUUACCUAGGCGACGAUGUGUAGCCGGUCUGAGAGGAUGAACGGCCACAAUGGAACUGAGACACGGUCCAUACUCCUACGGGAGGCAGCAGUGGGGAAUAUUGCACAAUGGGGGAAACCCUGAUGCAGCAACGCCGCGUGAGUGAAGAAGGUUUUCGGAUUGUAAAGCUCUGUUAGCAGGGAAGAGGAAGGACGGUACCUGCAGAGGAAGCCACGGCUAACUACGUGCCAGCAGCCGCGGUAAUACGUAGGUGGCAAGCGUUGUUCGGAAUAACUGGGCGUAAAGGAUGCGUAGGCGGUUAAACAAGUUAUAUGUUAAAUAUAUAGGCUUAACCUGUAGAAAGCAUAUAAAACUGUUUAACUAGAGUGCAGGAGAGGUAAGUGGAAUUCCUAGUGUAGCGGUGAAAUGCGUAGAGGUUAGGAAGAACACCAGUGGCGAAGGCGACUUACUGGACUGUAACUGACGCUGAGGCAUGAGAGCAUGGGGAGCAAACAGGAUUAGAUACCCUGGUAGUCCAUGCUGUAAACGAUGGGUACUAGGUGUGGGUUGUGAAUAACAAUUCGUGCCGUCGCAAACGCAAUAAGUACCCCGCCUG
rnacentral:rRNA from 1 species